rnacentral:tRNA from 1 species
GGGGAUGAAGCUCAAUGGUAGAGCACCUGCUUAGCAUGCGGGUGUACCUGGAUUCCAUCUCCAGCACCA